AGUCGACGAGAAGGGGAGCAAUCCCUGAGUAAAGUGGCGUACGGGUGAGUAACACGUGGGUAAUCUACCUUUUGGUGGGGAAUAACCCUGGGAAACCGGGGCUAAUACCGCAUAAGCCUGAGAAGGGAAAGGAGCAAUUCGCCGAAAGAGGAGCCCGCGGCUGAUUAGCUAGUUGGUGAGGUAAAGGCUCACCAAGGCUUCGAUCGGUAGCCGGCCUGAGAGGGCACACGGCCACACUGGCACUGAAACACGGGCCAGACUCCUACGGGAGGCAGCAGUGGGGAAUCUUGCACAAUGGGGGAAACCCUGAUGCAGCGACGCCGCGUGAGUGAUGAAGCCCUUCGGGGUGUAAAGCUCUUUCGGCAGGGACGAUAAUGACGGUACCUGAAGAAGAAGCUGCGGCUAACUACGUGCCAGCAGCCGCGGUAAUACGUAGGCAGCGAGCGUUGUUCGGAGUUACUGGGCGUAAAGAGUGCGUAGGCGGUUUUCUAAGUUUGGUGUGAAAUCUCCCGGCUCAACUGGGAGGGUGCGC
rnacentral:rRNA from 1 species